UACGUAGGGAGCAAGCGUUGUCCGGAAUUAUUGGGCGUAAAGAGCUCGUAGGCGGUUUGUCGCGUCGGCUGUGAAAACCUGGGGCUCAACCCCGGGCCUGCAGCCGAUACGGGCAAACUAGAAUUCGGUAGGGGAGACUGGAAUUCCUGGUGUAGCGGUGAAAUGCGCAGAUAUCAGGAGGAACACCGGUGGCGAAGGCGGGUCUCUGGGCCGAUAUUGACGCUGAGGAGCGAAAGCGUGGGGAGCGAACAGG
rnacentral:rRNA from 1 species